CCUUUUUAAAAUCCUUACCAUGUGUAUUAGUGUAGUGUGGAAAUGUGUUAAUGCUACGCCAUACUUAGUGCCUGUAUGCAUAUCAAUUCCAAGAACUGUAUCAUUUUAAGUGUAGUCUCAUUGCUUGUACCAAACUUGAACUUACCUAGUGGAGACUGAUGCACCAGUCCGCUUUGGAUGGAUUUGUACCGGACUUGAACUUAUCCAUCACAGUGGUGACUGAUAUAGGAUGGAUUCUGUAACUCUUUUGGUCUUUGAUAUUGGAGACAUUUUGAAAGAACGACACCAAGCCGCAUGACAGAAAGUCAGAGACAAACUUUCUUUGAUGAAGUCAGAAAGUCCAACAUCGAUGCCUUUAAGCAGAUACUUUCCUGUCCUUCAGUGAUGACCUUUGUUCGUUUAACUUGCCAAGUUGUUGCUUCAAAGUUAUACAGAGAAAGAAAAUGAAGAUAUGUUAAUAUAAAUAUGUUCAGGUUAAGAUAUCCCAAAUAAAUAUAUUGUCGCAGACAUGUACUAUCAAAAAAUAGGGGAAAAAAAUCUCCAAUUAGUAUGCAUUUACUGACGAUCCUGAGAUGCCCUUCAUUGUGCAAUAAUAUCAGACCACCUACUAUCAGACCACCUACAUCAGUUGAGGCCAGUGAUGAAGUAUCUCUGUAAUGCUUGAAGUUAGUGUUGAUUGUGAACGCUCCUUUUCUCUUCUUAUACGUUGAGCUUCUUGACGCGGAGAUAAUUCUGCCCUAUUAUUUUGAAGAAUUAGAAUAUUGCAUAUAAUGAAAAAGUAUGUUGCACAGGAUUAAUAGUAACGAUGAUAUUAAAUCUUGAUGAUUUUGAGAUUAAUGAAAUUAAUAAUAUCAAUAGAAUAAAUUAUAAUUGAAUAGGUAAACUUUACCUUUGUUGGACUAUUGAAUUUAGUAAUGAUGGUGCCCGUUCCUUUUCUUUGCUUAUACGCUGGUCUUCCUUUGAAUUACUUUUCUCUUCACCACUAUUUGAUUGCUUCAUUUCCAAUGAUUUCUUUGAUCUUCAAACAGACAACAACAUGAUAUUAGAACUUAGCUUUGUAGAUAAAAACUCAGACAGGGUCAAAACCCACAUAUAUAUAAUAAUUAGUAUUCGUUUGUAAAGACAAAUUCUCAAGCAUGGAAAAAGGUUCUUUGGACCUAAUGUCUUUAUGAUAUAAAAAAACAAAAUAAUAAAUUUUUACUCGAUAGGGAAAGAUUACUUUGGUUCAAUAUUUGAAUUUAGAACAGAUUGUCACCGUUCCCUUUUUCUUCUAAGACGUUGACCUUCUUGACGGGGAGAUAAUUCCACAAUGUCAUUUGGCAAAAUUUGUUGACUGCAUACAAAGGGAAAACAUGUUACAUAGAAAAUGAGUUAACAAUGAAAUUAAAUAUCUAUGAUCUUAAGAUUCAUCAAUUUAUUAACUUAUCUAGAUCAAAUUUUAAGUGAAAUAGUAAAAUUUACAUUGGUUCAACUAUUGAAUUUAAUACUGAUUGUGCUCGCUCCAUUUCUUUUCUGAUACAUUGGUCUUCGUUCGAAUUACUUUUCUUUUCAACUCCAUCUGACUGUUUCAUUUCCAACGACUUCUUUGUUCUGGAAGAAGCCAACGACACCAUAUUAAAUCUUAGCAUUGAGAUAAAAAUUCACAUAGAGUUACAUCCACAUAUAAAUAAUAUGAACUAUUGGUUAGUAAAAACAACCAAAAUGUCAUUAUAAUACAAUUUAAAUCAUCUUAUUGUUCUAAUUCAAACCAGAUUCUCUAGCUAUUGACCUUGCCCACUGUUAGGUUUCUUUCUUUUGACAAAUUAAAGGUAAACUAUGCAAAUUAUAUACUUUAAAUUACCAAACACAAUUACUACUACAAAAAUAAAGAAUAAAUAACAAACGCAGAUAUUCGAAAGACAUAACUAAUUGAAUUUUUUAAGGAAAAAAUAGAAAACACUAUGGCAGUUAGACUCCAUUGUAACUUAGUUAGUUCCAAAGAAGUUCCAUCAACUUUUGUCUGGAUAGAACAAUUAUAUGUAACAAUCAUGACGAUAAAGGCACGUCAUAAUGUCAUAUGUAUACAACGACACCUCUUUCAUAUGUAUAAAAUUCAGCAACUUUUCUAAAUAUACAACUUUGUACGUAGACUAAUUUAUUCACGUUUUGAUUAUCUGAUCCCAUAAAAGUGGAUCUCAUGAAAGCAAGAGAUGCAAGUAAUUUACAUAUAUGUAAUGUGCCAAAGGAUAUUUUUCCUGGUUACAUCAUUAAAUCAUUCAUCUAAUCGUUCUCUCUCAAGAUGCAACUUAUGUUGUGUGUGGGGAGAGGUUCUCAACAGGCUGAAUCCAUCAGGUCACUCUCUUUUAGGGAUUGCCAUAUUAAAUAGUGUAUGUUAUAAACUUAAUUUAAGGUCUGUCAAGAGUACAUAAGCUAAAGUCUGAAAAUACUGAUUGAUAUAAACCUACCUGUUGAAGCCGAAGCGCAACAGAGCGCAACAGAUAGUGGAGAAUGUUGAUGCAAACUGACCUGCAGAAACAACAACAAUACAUAAUCAUAAUUAAGUUAGGGCGAGUAUUACAGAGCUAAUAAAAUUAAAAUUGAUUUGUGUAGCCAUUAAGAGAGGGAGCAAACUAAUUACACCUAUCCUAGAUAGGUCAUUAUUUAUAUAAAAAGCCACCUUUUAUUUUUCUGAUAUCACCUACUUUCAUGGGUCGCCAGUUCUUGUCAUUGUUAUCUUAACUAUAUCAAUAAAAAUGCCUGCUUAUUACGCUUGUAAUGAAUAUUCUAAAAUUAUGGAAGGUUUUGGCAUGAGAGUUUGUAUGUAAAGGUUCUAUUUGCAAACAAUAGUGAUGAAUCCAUAUUAGUAUGUAGCUAUAUAAUGUUGUUUCAAACUGUGUUUGUAUGUAAUGAGCAAUGACUGCAUAUUUCAUUUACAGGUACCAAUGGCAGAGGUGAUAAAAAAGUUCUUUGUUGCAUCAGUGUUUAUGUGGAUUCUCCCAAUUGCAAUUUUAUAUGGUUUUAACAACAAUAUAUUUCCUGGUAAGCUUCCUUAUUGAAACUUACAUAGACUCUCCAAAUUUAUGCCUUCUCUGUUUUUGCUUAUUUGAUGUUAAAAAUGAUGAUUUGUAUACUUUAAUGAUUCUGUUUUUUACGGUUAAAUCGGAUUUACAUGUAUUCUUAGGUUUAGAAACUCAAUUAAUAACUCAUAAGGUAAAUGUAAGAAUUUGGAUGAUGCACUACUAAAUUUUUGGGUGUUAAUCAUUUGCGUCAUUAUCUUUUAAAAUUAUGUAUUGGAUCUUACUGGGUGUUGCAUCUUACUUGUAUACCAUACUAAGUUUUGUUGCGACUACGUAUGACCCAUGAUUCCUUCUUGGUCCAAAAUGGUCUUGGUUGGAUUGAAUCAAUCUGUAGGUGUUGGCUAUUUAUGCUUGUACAUAUCAUCUGAACUACUGGGCUCCUUUCAAAACCCUCUGACGUGGUUGAUGUGGUGGUAACAGUACUAAUGCCAGUCUCCUAACUAAACACAUUGGUCUAAACUCUCAAGAGAUUUCGUAAGAAAGUGUGUAUUCUUUUUCUUUAUUUGUUUAUUGAACUAAUUUUCUCGAUAAUUUUUGUUUCCUAUUCUAAGUGUGUUUAGUUAUAUCUAAUGUGUCGCUAAUAUUAAUUUUUCUCGAUAUGAAUUCAAGCAAAAAAAAAAGUUAAAAAUUAAGAAUAAACAAUCAACCAACUACAUCAGUUCACAAAUGCAAAAAGAAUCCUUAAUACUACACCUUUCUAUUAGUAGUCUUUCUCAAAAUUAUCACAACUGUUUCUUGACUACAUCAGCUCAAAAAUAUUGUGGACACAACUACUAAUUCACAUUGGCUUUUUAAGAGCUAAUCAAAUGCAUGAAGAAGAUGUCUCCAUUUCCUGUUGAUUGUCAUGCAUCAUAGAUAUACAAUGAUGGCUUCUAAGUGGUAUAAAAUAAUAUUGUAAGGGCAAUCUGGCUUCAAUUGCGUACUCUACUCAUGCAACAACAAAUUGGUGCUUCAAGUAUAAAAUAAUAAGAACACUAUUUAAAGUGGCAAACCAAGCAUACUACUCGAAGAACUCUAAAAAAAUCUUCACUUAUGUGUAGGUUGAAUUAUUCGUUACUUAAGAAUUGUGAGGAGAAGACAAAGCAGAGUGCAGCAGAUUAAUUGUGGGACAGGACAGCAAUUAAUACUAAAAAUGCUUGUGUACAGCAAUCAGAGGAGAAGUUGCUGACGGAACGGAAUGAUACUUAGUCACAGCCUACGUUUGUUGUUUCUAUACAGUAAAGGUUGCAAGUUUGACAGAGGCUCCUUAUCGCUUCACGUAAUCAAUAAGAGAGCCUCGGUGCGUAGCCUUUAUUCUACUAUGCUACGCAAAGGUUACGAAGUCACUUAGCUCAACGUUAGGACAGUCAAGGAGGAACGCAAUACCUACAUAGAAGAACCGCUGUUCGCUGAUUUUCUAACGUCUAACCUUUCGCUUCCCCUACUGAAAAUUAUCUAAUUUUGAAUAAGUUUGUAUAAGAUUGAUUUCCAAUCUCGAUAUUCAUCCGACGGUUUAAAAUAUCUAACCAAACUAAACUGUGUCAUACUUGUAUCUUAAUAGUAACAUGUGUACUUAAUAAAACUAUUAAGUACAGACUUUGAUUUUUCAUAUUAGGUAUAUUCAGUAUGUUGGAUAACAAUGUUAAUCCUGUAUUUUUCAGGUUUGAGGAUGUAAAUGGUUCUAAGUUUAUUAUGUACUUAAUAAAACUAAUAAGUACAAUCAGGAAUCAAGAUGUAAAAUUUAAUUGUUUACCUAAAUAAUAGUAAAGUGUUACUCAAACCAAAAAUAAUAUUAAUACUACUAUUAACAAUCAAUCAUAAUAACUAAUCAACGUAUGUGUAAGGGUUUAAAUUUCAUACCUGAAAACUAUACUUGAUGAUGAUUGAUGUCGAUGAGAUUGAAUGCUUGGGUAGUGAAGAUAGAUUGAUGAUGUCGAUUAGAUAAAACCUAAAUUACUCUAUCUAAAUUUUAAGUAACCCAAAGUUCCAAUUCGAAAUCUUCAAGCUUCUUCACCUCAACUCCGGUUUUCGCUUGGAAUGAAACUACAGAAUUCCUGUC
rnacentral:lncRNA from 1 species